GUUUUUGUAGUUGAAUUACAACAGUGAUUUUUCAGGUCACAGGUCUUGGUUAGACUCCUAGCAGAAAUU
rnacentral:tRNA from 1 species